rnacentral:rRNA from 1 species
GAGUUGUAAUUUGGAGAGGAUGCCUCGGGGUCGUCUCCGGCCUAAGUUCCUUGGAACAGGACGUCGUAGAGGGUGAGAAUCCCGUACGCGGCCGGGUGCCUUCCCCGUGUGAGGCUCCUGCGACGAGUCGAGUUGUUUGGGAAUGCAGCUCUAAAUGGGAGGUAUAUUUCUCCUAAAGCUAAAUACCGGCCAGAGACCGAUAGCGCACAAGUAGAGUGAUCGAAAGAUGAAAAGCACUUUGGAAAGAGAGUUAAAAAGUACGUGAAAUUGUUGAAAGGGAAGCGUUUGCGGCCAGACUUGAUGGCGGUUGCUCAGCCGGUCUCUGCCCGGUGCACUCUUCCGUCGUCAGGCCAGCAUCAGUUUGGGCGGCCGGAUAAAGGCUUUGGGAACGUGGCUCCUCGGAGUGUUAUAGCCCUUUGCACAAUACGGCCCGCCCGGACUGAGGACAGCGUUCGCUAGGAUGCUGGCGUAAUGGCAGCCAACGGCCCGUCUUGAAACACGGACCAAGGAGUCUAGCACAUGUGCGAGUGUUUGGGUGUCAAACCCGCACGCGUAAUGAAAGUGAACGGAGGUGGGAGCUCCCGCGCACCAUCGACCGAUCCUGAUGUCUUCGGAAGGAUUUGAGUAAGAGCACAUGUGCUGGGACCCGAAAGAUGAUGAACUAUGCCUAAAUAGACUGAAGCCGCCCGAAAGUGCGGUGGAGGGUCGCAGCGGUUCUGACGUGCAAAUCGAUCGUCAAA